GAUGAACGCUGGCGGCGUGCCUAAUACAUGCAAGUCGAGCGAACAGACGAGGAUCUUGCUCCUCUGACGUUAGCGGCGGACGGGUGAGUAACACGUGGAUAACCUACCUAUAAGACUGGGAUAACUUCGGGAAACCGGCGCUAAUACCGGAUAAUAUAUUGAACCGCGUGGUUCAAUAGUGAAAGACGGUUUUGCUGUCACUUAUAGCUGGAUCCGCGCCGCAUUAGCUAGUUGGUAAGGUAACGGCUUACCAAGGCAACGCUGCGUAGCCGACCUGAGAGGGUGAUCGCCCACACUGAGAGUGAGACACGGUACAGGCUCCGAGGGGAGGCAGCAGUAGGGAAUGUUCCGCAGUGGGCGAAAGCCUGACGGAGCAACGCCGCGUGAGUGAUGAAGGGCCUCGGAUCGGAAAACUCUGUUAGUAGGGAAGAACAAAUGUGUAAGUAACUAUGCACGUCUUGACGGUACCUAAUCAGAAAGCCACGGCUAACUACGU
rnacentral:rRNA from 1 species